ensembl:lncRNA
GCUGAACACCAGAACUGAAUCAAUCAGAUGUGAUAGACAGCCGUCAAUCACCUAAACAGAGAAAGAUUGUUCUUUUCUCUCUCUUCAGACAUCUUUCUUCACAACUUUCAGAAGCAUCUGAAUUCAGACCGACCGGUCAGUCCAUCGUCAUCAGAAACCCAAACUCUCCAGGCUCCGAUAUCACCUUCUCUUGACCAGAAUUUCGGCAUUCCCUGUUGAGACUUUUCCAUCUGUUUCCCACAGUGAACACACACUCACACACUCACACACACACACACACACACACACACACACACACACACACACACACACACACACACACACACACACCGAGCUCUUGUGUGGAAUCUGCUUAGAGGAGCUGACACACACAACUCAACUCAACGCCACUGGAACUCAGUUUCCAUCUUCAGAAGCUGCGGCUCGUGAAACUGAUUCAUGAGUUUUCACAUAAACAACCUUCCGUUUAUCUUUCAUGAUUCAGAUGCUGCUUGAUUGUUUGUAUCGUCACAGAAUGUAACUAUGUUAUCUAAUACUAAUGUUAUAUAUUAUAAAUAAGUGUGUACAACAUUAAGCAUAUACAUACAGUAUAAUACAGUGUGUUAGGUCAAUACUAUUGCAAAUCUCAGCUGUUUGAUUCCGUGUGUCAUCGCUAAAUGUAACUGUAUUAAUCACCCAGCUGUAUUUUGCUAAAUGCAACUGUAAGGAAUGAAGAUAUUAAGAUAUUAUAACAUCAUGAUUUGCUAUAAAACUGUUUUGAAAUGCAUACAUAAAUAUUUUUGACUUUGACUUUUAAUGAUAAAUCUGUAACAUUUUAAAAUAAAAUUUGUUAAAUUUGUUAAAAUGAACUGAAUGCUUCUAAAGCAAUUAUUAAAUUUAGUUAAUUUCGACAUUUACUAAAACAUCAUUAAAAAAAAUAAAUUAAAAAAAAAUAAUAAUAAGAAUAUUAUAAUGUUAUUUAAUUAUUCUAUGGACCUGAGCUAACAUGAACUAACAACGAACAUUCAUUUUUAUUAUCUGACAAACAUAAGAAUAAUAAAUAGCAGAUGUAUUGCUCAUUGUUGGUAAAUGCAUUAACUAAUGGCACUAAUUGUUAACAUUAGUUAAUUACAAUAUUUAACAUUAACUAAUCAUUUAUUAUUCUUAGUUAAUGUUAAUGUCAACUUUUAAGUACAUAUUAUAAUAUAAUGUAAUUAUUUAAUGGAACUAAUUUACCUAAACUAACAAUGAACAGCUGCAUUUGAUUUAUCCAAAAUGAACAAAGAUUAAUAAUAAAAUAAUAAUAAUAAUAAUAAUAAUAACAAUAACAAUAAUAAAUGUAUUGCAUGUUGUUCGUUCGGAAUGAAUUCCAUUUGUUAACAUUAGUUAACUACAUCAGUCUACAUAAAAAUAAAAAAUUGUAAAAAAUCUAAAACUUUUCUCUUUUUUUAUUUAUUUAUUUAUUUAUUUAUUUAUUUAUUUAUUUAUUUAUCUUAGUUAAUGUCAAUGUCGACUUUGAAGUUAAUAUUAUAAUAGUAUGUACUUAUUUAAUGGACCUAACUGACAUAAAUUAAUAAUGAACAGUUGUAUUAUUUUAUUAACUAACAUUAAAAAGAUGAAUAAAUACUAUCGCUGGAUUGCAGAUUAUUAUUCAUAUUCAUGCACUUUAUGGUUGAUCUUGCUGCAGUUUUAAACCUGAUUUUGUGCCUGUUUGUCUAAAUGUGUGUUAGUGUGUGUGUGUGUGUGUGUGUGUGUGUGUGUGUGUGUGUGUGUGUGUGUGUGUGUGUGUGAACUGAUCUGUCGUCUGUCUGUCAGGCGUUUGUUCUGAG